rnacentral:lncRNA from 1 species
GGAGAUGAAAAGCAUGGAGAACGGACCACCCGGGGCGGACCUGAGCCUGGCUGAGCUGGCGCAGCAGCUGGGAAUGACCCAGAGGCGGAGGAAGGAGACGGAGCGGAAGGUUGAAGGCCUGCAGUCCCAGCUUAGGGCCCUGGAGGCCAACGAACACAGGCGGGUUGAGAUGCAGCUCCUGGACAAAAUGAAGCUGGACGCGCAGCUCUUCCAGGAGGAGAUCCGUCUCGUCCACCUGGGUCGGCAGGUGGCGCAGCUCCAAGCGGCUCGGCGGCAGCUGCAGACCAAGGAGAACGCUAGGAGGAGGGCUUCGACCCUGUCUGACCUGGUGUCUUCCCAGUGCCCCGCCUUGCUGCUGCUGGUCCAUGAGCCGCCGAGCGAGACGGGGGCUUACGGCUUCACCGCGCGGUACCUGGAGGGCAGGGGGCUCGUGGUGGUGCAGGCACAGAACUCCCACCUUCAGCCCAGUGACAGGUAAAGGUGUAACACCUGAACACAGACUGCGCUCUGGUCCUCCCUCAUCAUGUUGCUCU